AACUAGGAAUUAGAUACCCUAUUAUUAAAAUUAUAAAAUAAAAUUUGAUUAGUAAUUGUUAAGUUCAUGAAAAUUAAAAAAUUUGGCGGUAUUUUAGUCUAUUCAGAGGAACCUGUUUUGUAAUCGAUAGUCCACGAAUUAAGUUACUUUAUUUAGAAGUUUGUAUAUCGUUGUAGUUGAAUAUUUUUAUAGAAAUUUAAUAUUCAAGAAAUAGUUUUUAAAAAAAAUCAAAUCAAGGUAUAGCUAAUAAUAAAGUAAUAAUGGGUUACAAUAAUAAUAAUUUAGGAUUUUAAAUUGUAAAUUUAAAUGAAUUUGGAUUUGAAUGUAAUUAUUAAAAAUUUAUAUAAUGAUUUUAGCUCUAAAAUAUGUACACAUGGCC
rnacentral:rRNA from 1 species